rnacentral:rRNA from 1 species
GCCUCUUGCAAUUAAAGUAUAAGAGGUCCUGCCUGCCCAGUGACAUUAGUUUAACGGCCGCGGUAUUAUGACCGUGCAAAGGUAGCGUAAUCACUUGUCUUUUAAAUAAAGACCUGUAUGAAUGGCAAAACGAAAGUUCAACUGUCUCCCUAAGUUAAUCAGUGAAAUUGAUUUUUCCGUGCAGAAGCGGAAAUAAAUUUAUAAGACGAGAAGACCCUAUGGAGCUUCAAAUAUAAAUCAAUUGUUUUAAUUAAAAAUCAACCAAAAAAUAUAAUAAAACAUAAUGAUUAAAAUUUUAGGUUGGGGCGACCACGGAAAAAAACAAAACUUCCGAGAUGAAAUAUUAUUAAUGAACAACAGUUCUAAAAAAUAAAAUAUUUAACAUAAUUGAUCCAAUAUUUGAUCAACGAACCAAGUUACCCUAGGGAUAACAGCGCAAUCCUUUCUAAGAGUCCUUAUCGACGAAUGGGUUUACGACCUCGAUGUUGGAUCAGGACACCCCAAUGGUGUAGCCGCUAUUAAAGGUUCGUUUGUUCAACGAUUAAAGUCCUACGUG